CAGCCGCCGCGGUAAAACGGAGGGUGCAAGCGUUAAUCGGAAUUACUGGGCGUAAAGCGCACGCAGGCGGUUUGUUAAGUCAGAUGUGAAAUCCCCGAGCUUAACUUGGGAACUGCAUUUGAAACUUGCAAGCUAGAGUCUUGUAGAGGGGGGUAGAAUUCCAGGUGUAGCGGUGAAAUGCGUAGAGAUCUGGAGGAAUACCGGUGGCGAAGGCGGCCCCCUGGACAAAGACUGACGCUCAGGUGCGAAAGCGUGGGGAGCAAACAGGAUUAGAUACCCGAGUAGUCCCUGUCUCUUAUAC
rnacentral:rRNA from 1 species